UGCUGUCAUAAGUGUAAAGAGCAUCUAAUACCAAUUCGAAUUCUAAAUAAUACAUAAGUUUCUGUCUCUUAAUAAGUAAAACAUAAAGAUAGAGGGAGGCUAGAACAAGGCUCUAAAUGGGAAGCUCAAAAGAUCUAUGAUAUGGCUCUCUUAAUGUACGCAUAAGCUACCAUGGCUGCACUCGUAUUGAGAUCUGCAAUGAAAGGGCAUAGAAGUAGAAGUGAGUACAUGUCACGACCCGAACCGAGACCCUGGACGUGACGGACACCCCAAGUCAACCAAGGCUUGAGAUGACACCCUAGCCUUACCUCAAGUGCAUGAUGAUAAUAAUAAUAGAAAAAUUGCAGAAGCCACCUAAUAGAAUAAUAAAAUUAUGAAAGUCAAUUUGAGAGUCAAAAACCAAAUUCACAUCAAUAUCCCAACAUUGUCCACGAAAGCCUCUAAUUUAAAGAAUACCAACUAAGUUAGGACAUGCCCCCGAUUAUGACCCAAGAAAUCCAAUACGGCUAAAAUAAUAAAUAAAAACUAAGAGAGAGACCAGGCCUUUCGAAGGAUGAAGGGCUCACCACUUUACAGUUGACCAAUCGAAAUAUCGAUCCACCUAAUACUGUACAGGAUAAUCAAAGAAAUUCUCGAAACCUAUAUCAUAAAAUGAUAUAGCAUCUGGGGACGAUCAGUACAACAAGUACUGACAUGCAAACCAAAACUAGUUAUAAAUCACAUGCACAACCAUUAUACAUAUAUAUAGGAUGUCAGGUAGGGGCAAGGGCCAUAAAUCAUGCUCAUUUAAACUUUAGUCCUGAACUGUGUAGCUCGUGCCGACCUAAAGGUACCCACGUGCUAUAUGAGUUUGGCUUCCCCAACUGGAAGGUCCCCUGUCCAUGUUAGCUGUAUGCAUCGAAGAAAUAGACUAAAGCCACCAAUAGUUAAUUAUCCUCCUAAAAUAAACCGUGCAAAGCAAACACAGUGGUCAUCUGUAUUUCAGGACAAGACCUCCCAAUGUCGGCAAACGUGGUUUCCAGUAUUGGUCCCACCGGGACUAUACCCUCUUGGUGAGCUGCACAAUUUUUUUUAAUCACAAUUUAAAAUAGUUUUUCACAUAACGCUAAUACCAACCAAAAAGUCUUAAUUUAGGAAAUUUUUGAAUUGGUAAAGUCAUGUCAAUAGACUUGCAAGCUAUUUCAAUUAUGCUAAACCGUAACCAUCUAACUAAUUAGACUCCAAAUUUCUGGUAGAAUCCAAAAUCAUAGGCCCCAAAGGCGUUACAAACCUUUUAAUCAUUUUUACCAUUUGAUGCAAUGCAACACUUUAAAAGAUAAGUUAAACUAUGUAGAAUCCUUGUUUAAAGACAAAUUAUAAUGUAGGUUGAGGUUCAUGUCAUUACCAUGCCAAAAUUCACUAACUUUGUAAAACCCAAGUUACCAAAUUCUACCAUUAUGACAAUUAACAAAUUCAGUUAACAAUCCAUCAUUUAAAACAUUACUAACCCAUUUAAAACAAGGGAAAAAGCAUGCAAGUGUUAACAAGCAAAAUCCCUCACCCAUAUUUUGAUCCAUUAACCAAAUCAAAUAAAUAUCAAGUAAAUUGAUGUAGUUAUAUAAUAAUUAAAAUAGGGAGUGUACAACAUGCCUAAAACUGAAAGAUAGAAGGAUUUGGGGAGAACUUAGAGUUUAAAAGCCCAGAGGAUUGAAUUCUUGGGAAAACCCUCGCAUUUCUUCACUUGGGAGUUGGAGAGGAGAAGGGCAUUGUUAAAAGUUGAUAGCUAACGGUCAUGAGGGAUUAGAAGGUGUUUUAUGUCGUUUAAUAGGACAAAGAACCAAAAAGACCUUCCACCUAAUUUAAUAUAAUGAGCUGGUGCCCAGAAGCACGCCACACCCUUAUUGCGGGGCAUAGAAAGUGUGCCACACCCUUACUGUAGACCCUAACUGGUUAGGGAUCCCAAAAUGACCCAGAAUACUUUGAGAAAAUCCAAAACUUUUCCAAAUCACUCCUUUAACAUCUCUUAUCAUCUUUCAAGUAAAAUAUAUGAUUAUUAUACAUGUGGAAAUGUCAAAAAUAAAUCAGUUGAAAGUUUUUCCUGGGUCUUACAUUAUCCCCCCACCCCCAAUAGGAUCAUUCAUUCCCAAGUAAGAAGUUAAGACACCCUUGGCACGAUCGUAUAAUGAAUAUAUUGGAAUUCAAGGACAUUCAAAAUUCAACAAGAGAAAAGUAAAAUUCGUGCCUUAAGCACUGUAGUCCAAUAUUGGAAAAAACAAUGGGUACUUGGCUUUCAUAUCCUCUUCUGAUUCCCAUGUAGUUUUUCAGCCCUUUAGUUCCUCCAAAGCACCUUCACCGAAGCUAUUUCCUUAGCUCUCAUCUUUCAACUUAUCUAUCCAAGAUUUCAGCCAAAAUUUCCUCAUAAAAUAAUGAAUCUUUAAUGCCAAUAUCCUCAAUGACCCUAUCAAGGAAGGAUGACGCACACACUUCUUAAGCAUAGACACAUGAAAAAUGAGAUGGACCAAGGGAAAAUUCACUGGUAAGUCUAAUUCAUAAGCAACAUUACUAAUUCUUCUCACAGUUGAUACAUAGGCUCACAUUGAAAGAAGUAUCCAAGAUAUCAUCACUGAAUACUCUGUAGAAGGAUUCUGGAUUUUCACCUCCCACACUAAAGAAUGCCUGAAUAUGAAAGGCAAGAAUAUUAGAAUCUGAAAACAUGUAUCUUAUACUACAUCUAGUCCUAAAUUAUUGUUUUUCUUUAAAAGACAAAAGGACUAAGUUUCCACUUCUUUUGAAUCUCAUGUCCUCUUUCAUAGGAGAAACCUUCAAGAAUACCCAAUCAUUCACUUCAAAUUCCAACUCCCUUCACCUCACAUCCACAUAAGACUUUUGAUAACACUGGGCAGUCUUAGGUCUUUCUCAAAUCACUUUCACCAUCACAAUUUCUUGGUGAACUAAGUCAGGCCCAAAUAACCUAGUCUCACCCACCUCAAACUAUCUAAUUGGAGACCUACACCUCCUACCAUAAAGGGCCUCAAAAGGGGCCAUUGGAUGCUUGAACGAUAACUAUUAUUAUAAGGAAAUCCAAUAAGAGGCAAAUGGUCAACCCAUCUACCUUUAAAAUUAAUCACACAGGAUCUUAACAUAUACUUCAAAGUAUAAAUAGUAUGAUCUGCUUGUACAUCCAUCUGAGGGUGGAAAGUGGUGCUAAGAUUCACCUGACUACCCAAUCCUUUCUGAAAAGAAUACCAAAAGUGAGAGAAAAACUGCAUACCACGGUAAAAAAUAAUGGAUACUAGGGCCCUAUUAAAACAUCACUACCUCCUAAAUGAACAACUUGGCAUAAUCCUCUCCUGAGAAGUUUGUUCUCAUAGGCAAGAAGUGAGCAUACUUGGUCAUUCUAUCUACAAUGACCCACAUAGAAUCAUACCAAUUUUAAGACCACAAAAGACCUGUAACAAAGUCCAUAUUAAUCAUCUCUCAUUUCACAUAGUAAAGCUAUCUCGUGAGAAGUUUCACCUGACCUCAAAUAUUCCACCUUGACUUGCUGACAAACCAAUGUACUUGGCAACAAAAUUUGCCAUAUCCCUCUUCAUAUUAUUCCACCAAUAAAUCUUCUUUAAGUCAUGAUACAUCUUUGUCGAACCCGAAUGAACUGUAUAUCUUGAGACACGAGCUUCGGUAAAAAUCCUUUCCCAUAGCCUAUCUAUAUUAGGAAUACAUAACCUCCCUUGGUACCUAAAAAUUCCAUCUCCCCCAAACUCAAAAACCAUAAUAUUUUGCUGACCCACAUCAUCUUUGAUUUGCAUAACUAUGGGUUCCAGGACCUGCUUUUCCUUGAUCUCAGGCCCAAAAGACAAUUUAACCACUUUAUAAAUGAUUAACUUUCUAUUCUCGGAGUUCAAAAGGCAGACUCCUAAAUUGGCAAGCCGAUGAAUAUCCUUCACCGAUCCUCGUUUCUCCUCUUCAACGUGGGAUAAAAUUCUUAUGGAUAACCUUAUAAGAGAAUCAACAACAACAUUAGCUUUACUUGGGUAGUAGUGAAGGCUUAUUUUGUAAUCCUUUAGCAAUUUGCACCACUGCCUCUGCCAAAGAUUCAACUUUUUUUGUGUGAACAGAUACUACAAGCUCUUAUAAUCUAAAUAGAUAUCCACAUGCGCCCCAUACAAAUAGUGAUGCUAAAUCUUUAAAGCAAAGACCAUAUCUGCCAACUCUAUAUCGUGAGUCGAGUAAUUCCUCUCAUGAACCUUAAGUUUCCUGAAGCAUAGGUAAUAAUUCUAUCAUGCUACAUCAAUACACAACCCAGCCCAACACGGGAUGCAUCAAAGUACACAACAAACCCCUUAGUACCCUCGGGUAGGGUCAAAACAGGAGCAAAAGACAACUUAUCCUUCAACUUUUUAAAAACUGCCCUCACAUGCAUCAGAUCAUAAAAAAUUUAUGUUUUUCUAAGUCAACCUCGUCAACAGAGAAUCAAUGAAUGAGAAUCUCUCCACAAACCUCUUAUAGUACCAGGUCAAUCCCAAGAAGCUCUUAAUAUUAGUUGGAGUCAAGGGUCUAGACCACUUCUUAACCACUUUGAUCUUUUGUGGAUCCACCUUGAUCUUUUCACUAAAUACAACAUGUCCGAGAAAAGUAACAACACUUAGCCAAAAUUCUCACUUAGAAAAUUUGCAUACAAUUUUUGGUCCUUAAGGGGUCUGCAACACAGUCCAGAGAAGCAUAGCACGAAUGAAACCAAUCCAUUCGUAAAAUUACAUAAAAAAUCCACUUUAUCAAGAUCUAUCAAAUCCACUAGUGUAUCUUUAUGAAAGAUGAGACUCCACACAACCCUUAUAGACUUUUCUAGCCACAAUAGACUUACCCACCAGAGUAGAAAUAAAAAAGGGGUCAAAAAUACUUUCAGGACAAAAACCAAAGUAUACAAGUAGAUAAAAAGUCACAUAAGAUAGGGUGGAAUCAAAAUCAAUCAAUCAAUAAACAUCAAAAGAGAAAAGUUGUAACAUACCGAUAAUAACAUCAGGAGAUGCCUCAGAUUCCUGAUGAGUAGAGAGUCCAUAAAGACAAUUUUGACUAGUUCCUAUCCAUAAAGUAGCAACCUUUACUACAGGAGAUGAAGUAGUGGCCACCGGGACCUUAUUGGCUCUGAUGAAAACCCUAGCUGAAAGAUAAUCUUGCUGCAUAUGACUAGGUUUACCACAAUUAAAGAACCAAUUUCGCCCCUCCUCAUAAUAACCACCGUGAAGCUUUACACAACCAUGACAAAAUGGAUAGGGUGGGAUGAUUAAGCUCUACUAACCUGAGAUUGGGCACCCUGUGUCCCAUGACUACUGCUAGACUGAGUACAUCAAUCACCUAAAGGCUUAGGAUAGGGAGUACUAGCUGACAAAUAAGUAUUUCCCCAAUUCUUCUUCUUAUCGCCUAUCAUUUUUUUCAUUAUUCUGCUGCUUUUCACCCUGUUUUGCAUACCUAGUCUUCUUAUUGUGCCUUUUUCCUAUUCAUAUAUGCUUUCUCUUCUCACCUUUCACCUGCUGCAUCUAAACCACUAGCCCUGAGAUAUCUAUGUCAUUAUUCAGCAUAGCAGCCUUACAUUCUAACACCAUGUCAAAAGAUAGACCUAAGGCAAACUUUCUCAUCCUAUACCUCAUAUUAGGCACAAGAUCAAGAGGAUAACAGGACAAUUGAGUGACCUUCAGUAAAUAUUCCUUAACACUUAUUUUACCCUACUUUAGAUUAAUAAACUCUUUACCUUAGUUUCCUUUAACUCUAGAGGAAAAAAGUGAUCACGAAAAGCACCCAUGAAAUCUUCCCAUACUUUUGGCCCUAUAUCUUCACCUAUUAGCAUUUCCCACUCCUUAUACCACUAAUAAGCCACUUCCUUCAAUUGAUAAUCUACAAACUCCACACCCUUUGAAUUACUAGUAUGCAUAACCCUAAAGAUAUUUUCCAUCUCAUCAAUAAACCCCUGAGGAUCUUCCUCAACCUUGGAAGAUGUAAAUUUUGGGGGAUUCAACCUCAUAAAAUGAUUAACUCAUAUGAACUCAGAUGAGCUAGUAACAUGACCCAUAUGAUCAUAAUGUCGGGACUGGGAUGCCAUAAUCUGAUGAAGCAUAUAAAUAGACUAAUGGAACUCUGCAUUAGAUAUAUCUUUCUCAGGGGACUGAGUAUGAGUAUCGCUAGCCUAGAAAGCUCGAUGAGGAAUAGAAGGGACCGAUGGAACCCUAGGUGGAGCGGUACAGACAGGAGUACAGACCCUACACAUGGUCUACAUACUAUUAGUAAGACAAACUUCCUCUAUAUUUUCCCCAUUUAGGAUGGAGGUUCCAACUGAGUUCCUGUGACCGUCAAUUCUUUGGAGAGGCAUGAUCUAAAACGCGAGUAAGAAAAAAGUUUGAGAAUAAUUUAUGGUAAUUAGACUUUCUAGCACGAAAUAGAACACAAAUAGGGGAAACAUUCCUAAAUACCUUAUAGCCUUCCCCUUAUAAGUAUGACGCACUACACACCCAUUAAAGGGACUUUACUCGACACGAUUUUAUGGAGAUCUAGAGACCCUAAAGUAUGCUCUGAUAUUAAGAUUGUCAUGACACAAACCAAGGUCUUGGACGUAACGAGAAACCCCAAGCUAACCAAGGCCUAAGAUUAUCCCCUUAGCCUUACCUCAAGAGCAUAAUAAUAAUAAUAGCAGAAAACUUACGGAAGCCACCCAAUAGAAUAAAAAAUUAUGAAAGUCAAUAAAAUAAGUUUGGGAGUCAAAAAUCAAAUCCACAUCAUAUCUUAACACUAUCCACAAAAGCCUCUAAUCCAAAAAAUACCAACUAAGUCAGGGCAUGCCUUUCACUAUACACAAGAAAUCCAAAAGGCUAAAAUAAUAAAUGAAAACUAAGAGAGAGACUAGGAAUUCUGAAGGAUGAAGGGCUCACUACUUCAUAACUGACCAACUAGAAUAUCUAUCCACCUAAUGCUGUAUAGGGUCACCAAAAAAGUUCUCAAAACCUACAUCAUGAAAUGAUAUAUUAUUCGGGGACAGUUAGUACGAUGAGUACUAGCAUACAACCCAAGAAAAGGGAGAAAAUACUACUUACCAAAACCAGUCAUAAAUCAGAUGCAUAACAAUUAUACAUAUAUAUAGAUGUCGGGGUAGGGGCAAGGUCCAUGAAUCAUGCUUAUUUAAAAUUUUUCCUGAACUUGUAGCUCAUACCAGCCUAAAAGCACCCACGGGCUAUAUGUGUCAGACUCCCCUUGUCGAAAAGGCUCCAAACCAUGUUAGCCACUUGUACUAAGGAAAUAGAUUAAAGCCACAAAUUGUAAAUUAUCCUCCAAAAAUAAAUUGUGCAAAGUAAACACAGUGGUAAUCCGUAUUUCAGGACAAGACCUCCCAACGUCGACAAGCAUGGUUUACUGUGUUGGUCCCCCAGGAAUACACCUUCUUGGUGACCUACACAAUUUUUUUAAGCCCAAUUUAAAAUAAUUUUGCACAUAACACUUACCAAACAAGGAGUCUUUAUUUAAGGCAUCUCCAAAUUGAUAUCCUCAUACCAAUAGACUUGCAAGCUAUUCCAAUUAUGUCAAACCAUAACCAUCUAACCGAUUAGACUCUAAAUUUUUGGUUUAAAAUCCAAAAUCAUAGCUCCCAAGGAUUUUCCAAACCUUUUCAUCCUUUUUACCAAUUAAUGUAAUGCAACGUUUCAAAAGAUAAGUUAAACUAUGUAGAAUCCUUGUUUAAAGCCAAUAUUAUAAUGUGGCUUGAGUUUCAUGUCAUUACCAUGCUUAAAUUUACCAACUUUGUGAAACCCAAGUUACCAAAUUCCACCAUUAUCACAAUGCAGAAAUUCAGUUCACAAUCCAUCAUUUAAAUCAUGAAUAACCCAUUUAAAAUAAGGGAAAAACCAUGCUAGGGAUAAUAAGCAAAAUCCUUUAAUGCUAGUUUAAUCCAUCAACCAAAAACACAUAAAUAUCUUGUAAAUUGAUGAAAUUAUUUAAUAAUUAAAAUAGGGAGUGUACAACAUGCCUGAAUGAUGAAAUAAUUUGGGGAGGAAUUAGAGUUUAGAAACCUGAAGGAUUGAAUUCUUAGGAAAACCCUUGUAUUUCUUGGCUUGGGAGUUGGAGAGCAGAAAAGGAAUGUUAAAAGUUGAUAACUGAUGGUCAUGAGGGAUUAGAAGGAAUUUUAUAUCGUUUAAUAGGGCAAAGGAUGAAAGAGUCCUUGACCCCAAUUGAAAAAACAAACUAGGCGAUUUUUUUUGCCAAAAAACGUGCCACACCCUUAUCACGGAUCCACACUAGUUUGGGUCCCAAAAUAACCCCAAACUCUUUCCAAAAAUUCCAAAACGUUCCCAAAUCACCCCUGUAACAUACCUUAUCAUCUUUCAAGUAAAAAAUAUUAUUACACACACGGGAAGGUCCAAAAUAAUUUAGCCAAAAAAUUUUCCUGUGGUCUUAUAGUACAAUCCACUUGUACUUAAUACAUAUGAUUGGCCUACUGAGCAAAGUAUAAAACUCUACAAGUAAAAGAUUUUAUGAGAAUCCUUCUACCUACAAGCAAAAAAUUUCCAAACCACGGCUUACAACAUCUCCACUUACAGUUCUACUAUAUAAAUUUAAAAAAGAAUAACUACACAUGGAUUAUAUAAAGAAAGAAAGUACACGGUAAUAAAUGUAUAGUAAAAGUAGAAAUGAUGCAAUGCAGUACAAUAAUGACAAUAUAAACUAUCACAUAGCCUCGUCUAUGUCUUCUGAGCCUACUUACUUUAUGUAGGACCAUAUACUUUCACAAUCUCAAAUCUUAAGUAUCUAUCACCUUAUCGACAUAUUUUCCCAAUUAAGGAUUUUGUAAAGUAUUUCAUUUCUUUCAAAAAUCUAUGUGUCUUAGUGAUACUAAUCUCAUGAAUAUUUAUAGAUGAAAUUAGGAGGUAAUGCUCACAAUCAAUCAGUAUAAAGAUAAUAACCAAUUCAAACAGGUAUAAUAAAUGAGCUCAAAAUCAACUCAAUAUGUCAAUAAUGCAUGAUAUAAUCCCUCGCAAGGCACCACUGUAAUAAAUAGUCAUAUAAAACAAUAAUAAUAUCAUUUCAAAACCUCUCGCUCGGGCAUUACUAUAAUGAUAGAGGAAAAUAAUGUUUAAAUAAGGUAAUAUUAGAUAAAGUCCACACACUGACAAUAUGAUAAUAAUAAUAAUAACCUCAAAAUACAACUUCCAUGCCCAAUUCCUUAUCUCAUUGCAUGAUUUAUAUGAAUGGUUAACUAUCCAGUGUAUCUGAAUAAAGUUAAGUUAUAACUGUUGGGUUCAUAGAAGUGUGAAUGGAAAAUGGAGAAAAAAUAGCAGAGAAGAGGAGACACCAAUUUGGAAAAGUGUACUCCAAAAAUUAAAAAGUUCACUAAUUCUCCCACAUUGGUGGGAGAAGGGAACUUUGGAGUGUUUAUAAUGAUGAAUACUUACUCCACAUGAUAAGUGAGGCAAGAAAUAAGAGAUGCCUCAUGCCGUCAUCUUCGCUCGCUCUCUCGGCUUUAGCUUUGGCUUCGGAUUUGGAUUUGGAUUUGUUAAAUGAUCGAUCGAUGAGAUCUAUGUUUUUGGACAAACUUAAUUUGAUGAAAUCUGAUUGAUACUCUAUUUAUAUGCAUGCAGUAAUAGUAACAGAUACAAUAUUUUGACAGAACUGAUGCACUGUUUUGACUGAGCUGAUGCGCUAUUUUUGAACUAAUGUACUAUUUUUUUAAACUAAACUGAUGCAUGCACUGAACUGAUAUACUAUUUCUGUUUCGACUGAACAGAUGCAAUUCUUCAAUGAAGUGAUGCACUGUUUUGAACAGCUGCACUGUUUGGUGAAAUGGUAUACUGCUUCAGCAAAAAUGCUGCAGACAUGUAUUUUCAGAAACAUCACACCAUUUAAGUGAACUAAUGCCACCUUUUCGAAGAGGCAUCUGCUAGGCUAUAUAAACCUGCUUUCCUUCACAGGUUUUUAUAUGAAAUUUUUAGAAUAAAAACUCUCUUCUUUUCUUUACAAAUAUUUUGUGUGAUGAAUUAAAACGUUCUGUGCAUUCGAAGAAUCCGCCUAUUUGAGGUACCGCUAUGGUCGGAUUGAAGGCCAUUUUAUCCUAGGAGGAAGAUUCCAUAACCUCGGGUACAGUGAGGGAAAUUAUUCCUUAAGGAAAGUCCGUGAAUUUGGACGACUUGGUCUUAUUCAUUUCUGUUUCAUCUAUUUUCUAAGAAAUAAAAUGCACCUCUUGGAAAGGUCAUUUUGAUCUUGUGUUGAGGGUAUUUGAUAUACUUUAUUGUGUUUUUGUUUAUAUACUUGAAUUUUAGUUUAAGUUGUUAUUUCUACUAUACUGAUUCUGCAUACCCGUAGAAGGAAUAUAACAAUCUUAAGGAAUAAAUUUACAGAAUCUGUAGAACUUAUUUUUGGAGAUUAAAGCUUAGGAUGUCUACUCCACUUGAAUUUAACUAGUGAUAAGAAGACACAAAAACUUCAUCACAAGUUAAAGUUCACUUGGUUGACGAUUUGAAGUUAUAAAAACUUCAGCGUUAACUAGAAACAAGAAGAAAAGUUGAAAAGUUAUUUAACUUUAUAAAUAGUAUUCUAAAAAAUACUAAAUUUUUCUUUCUUGUGUUGAUAGAAAAAAUGACAAGUGAUAGUCAAAUGCAAGAUGCGACAAUGUCUAUGGGGGCAACUAAUAUUUCCACAUCAAGUCGCACAAAUGCUCCGCCAACAACGGCACCGGCGGAGAAGCCCAAAAUAUUUUGGGCAUUGACUUCAAAAGGUGGCAACAAAAGAUGUUCUUUUACCUUACCACUUUAUGUCUACAACGGUUCACUAGCGAAGCCACUCCUGAGGUGCUCGAGGGAACCUCAGACAAAGACCACUUUGUUAUUGUAGAAGCUUGGAAACAUUCGGACUUCCUUUGCAGGAAUUAUAUUCUGAGUCGUCUCCAAGACGACCUCUACAAUGUUUAUAGUGGAGCCAAGACAUCAAAGGAACUGUGGGGGGCACUUGAAAAAAAUAUAAGAUGGAGGAUGUGGGAAUUAAGAAAUUCCUUAUUGCACGGUUCUUGGACUUCAAAAUGAUAGAUAGCAAAUCUAUUGUCUCUCAAGUACAUAAGUUGCAAGUCAUCAUACAUGAUCUCCUAACAGAAGGUAAAUCUUAGAAAAAUACCUUAGUUGAACAAAUUAAAAAUAUUCUUAAUACUCACAUAAAUUAUUUUGUAGGCUUAAUUGUGAAUGAUGCUUUCCAAGUAGCAACGAUAGUUGACAAACUACCACCUUUGUUGUAAGACUUCAAAAACUACUUAAAGCAUAAAUGUAAGGAGAUGACUGUUGAAUAUAUUAUUAUCCAACUUCGUAUUGAAGAGGAUAAUAAAGCUGCCAAAAGAAGGUCAACGGGGAAUUCUACAAUUAAUGGAGCACAUAUUGUAGAAGAUGACCAAAACAAUUCCAAGAAAAGAAAGAAAGCUGAACAAGGAAGCAAUUAACCCAAGAAAAAGUUCAAGGGAAAAAUCUUCAUCUGUGGCAAGAUUGGCCACAAGUCCACAGAUUGUCGUGCCCCAAAGAAAGGCAAAAAAUAGGAUCAAGCAAAUAUGAUUGAAUCCAACAAAGAAUGUGAUGAUCAGUGUGCUAUGUUCUCAGAAUGCAACUUGACGGGGAAUCCUCAUGAAUGGUGGAUGGAUUCUGGUGCCACCCUCCAUGUAUGUGCCAACAAGGAGUUGUUUUCAUCAUUCACUCCGGCUGAAGUAGAAGAAAUGAUCUACAUGGUUAACUCCGCUACGGCUAAGGUAGAAGGAACAGGAAAAAUUUGCUUAAAGAUGACUUCUAGAAAGGUCUUGACACUUAACAAUGUCUUGUAUGUUCCGGAGUUACGUAGGAAUUUAAUUUCUAUUUUACUUCUAGACAACAACAGAUUCAAAUGUGUAACCAUUUCUGCAAAAAUUAUAAUUAGCAAAGGAGAAAUGUAUGUAGGAAAAGGCUAUUUGACCGAAGGCCUAUAUAAGAUGAAUGUAGUGACUGUUGAAAUAAAUAAAAGUUCGAAUUCUUUAUAUUUUCUUGAGUUUUAUGAUUUAUGGCAUGAACAUUUAGGCCAUGUUAAUUACAAAACAUUACGAAAACUGAUUAAAUUAAAAGUUUUGCCAAACUUUGAGUGCAAUAAAUUAAAGUGUCAAACGUGUAUGGAGUCGAAGUAUGCAAAGCAUCCUUAUAAGUCCGUUGAAAGGAAUUCCAAUCCCUUAGACUUAAUACACACUGACAUUUGUAAUAUGAAGUCAACACCAUCACGUGGUGGGAAAAAGUAUUUCAUAACUUUUAUUGACGAUUACACUAGAUAUUGUUAUGUCUAUUUACUAAAUAGUAAGGAUGAAAAAAUAGAUACGUUUAGGUAAUAUAACACUGAAGUUGAAAAUUAGUUAGAUAAAAAGAUCAAAAUGAUAAGAAGUGAUAGGGGCGGAGAAUAUGAAUCUCCCUUUGCGCAAAUAUGUAUAGAGAAUGGAAUCAUCCAUCAAACUACGACCCCAUAUUCACCUCAAUCUAAUGGAAUUACGGAAAGAAAAAACUAAACUUUGAAGGAAAUGAUGAAUGUCUUACUUAUAAGUUCUAUUUUACCGCAAAACUUGUGGGGGGAGGUUAUCCUUACGGCCAACCGUAUACUUAAUAGAGUUCCACAUAGUAAGACACAAUCAAUUCGUUAUAAAAAGUGGAAAGGAAGAAAACCCAACUUGAAAUAUUUCAAAGUGUGGGGGUGUCUAGCAAAUGUCUAAGUUCUUGUGCCUAAAAGGGUUAAGAUAGGACCUAAGAUGGUGGACUGCGUGUUCAUAGGAUAUGCUAAAAGUAGUAAAGCAUGUCGGUUUUUGGUUCAUAAAUCCGAACAUCCGAAUAUAAAUAAAAAUAAGAUAAUUGAAUCAGAUAAUGCUGAAUUCUUUGAAAAUAUUUACCCGUAUAAAAUUAGACAUAAACAGUCUAGUGGAGGAUCUAAAUGAUCUCGAGAUGAACCAAGUGAGAAUGUACAUAAUGAAGAAAAUCCAAGACAUAGUAUACGUCAAACAAAGUCUACUUCAUUUGGAUUGGAUUUUGUAACAAUUUUCUUAGAAAAUGAGCCUCAUACAUUUAGAGAAGGGAAGGCAUCUUCGGACUCAUCCUUUCGAAAAGAGGCAGUCAAUAGUGAGAUUGAUUCAAUCUUAAGCAACUACACAUAGGAAUUAUUUGAUCUUCCUCCCGAAAAUAAACCUUUAGGUUCUAAAUGGAUCUUCAAACGAAAUAUGAAAGCGGAUGGUACUAUUGACAAAUACAAGGCAAGACUUGUAGUAAAAGGCUUCAAAUAAAAAGAAGGCCUUGAUUACUUCAAUACAUACUCGCAGUAACAAGGAUAACAUCUAUUUGAAUGUUAAUUGCCUUAGCUGCGGUAUAUGGUCUUGAAAUUCAUCAAAUGGAUGUGAAAACUACUUUCCUAAAUAGAGAAUUGGAGGAAGAAAUUUACAUAGAACAACCUGAGGGUUUUGUAGUUCCAGGGAAGGAGAAUAAGGUGUGUACAUUUAUUAAGUCAUUGUAUGGACUAAAGCAAGAACCUAAGCAAUAGUAUGCAAAGUUUGACCAAACCAAGUUGGCAAAUGGAUUCAAGAUAAAUGAAUGUGACAAAUGUGUAUAUAUUAAAGAAACACCAAAUCACCAAGUCAUUGUUUGUUUAUAUGUGGAUGAUAUGUUGAUCAUCAGUAGAGACAUUUCUGAAAUAAAUGCAACAAAAUAAAUGCUCGAGAGCAAGUUUGAUAUGAAAGACCUUGGAGUUGCAGAUGUAACUUAGGUAUAAGAAUCCAUCGAACUCCACAGGGGUUGGCAUUGUCACUGUCUCAUUAUAUCGACAAAGGUACUUGACAAGUUUAAGUAUAUAGAAUUCGGUAUUACCAAGGCUCCAUUGGAUGUGAGCUUUGCACUUCAAAAGAAUGAAGGUAAAAAUGACUCUCAAUUGGAGUACGCAAGAGUAUUGGGAUGUUUAAUGUAUAUAAUGAACUGUACAUGACCAUACAUAGCAUGCACUAUCAGUAAAUUGAGUCGGUACACGAGUAAUCCCAAUAAAACUCACUAGAUGGCAGUGAAAAAUGUUUGGGCGUAUCUUAAGUACACUCAAAAUAAUGCCUUGCAUUAUAAUAAAUAUCCUGUGGUACUUGAAGGAUAUAGUGAUACAAAUUGGAUCACCGGAUCGAAUGAAGGAAAAUCAAUAAGUGGAUAUGUAUUUACUACCGGUGGAGGAGCAGUCUCUUGGAAAUCAUCCAAACAGACUUGUAUUGCUCGCUCUACAAUAGAAUCUAAAUUUAUCACAUUGGAUAGAGCCGGUGAAGAAGCAGAAUAACUCUGGAAUUUCUUAGAAGAUAUUCUUUAUUAGCCCAAGCUAGUGGAACUAGUAUGUAUACACUGUGAUAGCCAAACGGCAAUAGGUAGGGCAGGGAGCAUGAUGUACAACGGUAAAUCUCAUCACAUACGACGAAGACACAAUACCGUUAGGGAACUUCUCUCUAGUGGAAUUAUCACUGUAGACUAUGUAAAGUCAAAGGAUAAUAUGUUGGAUCCACUUACAAAAGGCCUAUCUAGAGAAGGAGUAGAAAGAACAUCCAAGGGAAUUGGUUUAAGGCCUAGGACAAGUCAGCAUGAUGGUGACUCUACCUAGCAGACUGGAGAUCCCAAGAGCUAGGUUCAAGGAGAUUAAACAAAUUUGUGUCUGACAGGUUCAACAUUAUCAAAUACCCAACCUAUUCUCAUGAUGUAGAUAAUGUUUAGUAAACAAGGAUAAGAUUUCAGGUGAAAAGUCUUUUAAUGAUUAUCUAAAUUUGGCAGAUUUGACCAAAUAGUUUAAUCUAUAGGAUUGGACGUUUAGAAAUCACCUAUGUGAGGGAGAAGUGGAAGCCGCCUCAAGGAGAAUGUUAGUAAAGGCCUAUUCUCUAAGCUCUCAUGAAAAUUGGGACGUGUUUAUGGCUGAAAAGAACAAAACCGUAAGAACCAUAAAUGUUAAAAGGCCGGUUGUGUGACAUGUGUUAUCUAGGUGUACAUUAAAGAUCAAUGGUUCAAAGAUAUCAAAUCAACUAAUUGACCGAGUGCAUCCGAUGCAUUUCACUACGGAAAGUUCAAAGGAAAACCUACUUAUGCAGAUGCAAUCAGUCUUUUCUUGAUGAUCACAUAUUUGUCCGUAAAAGUUUUACAAAAAAUAGCCAUUCCCCAUUCAUGUGGGGGAUUGUUAGGUUCAUAGAAGUGUGAAUAGAAAAUGGAGAAAAAAUAGUGGAGAAGAGGAGACACCAAUUUGGAAAAGUGUACACCCAAAAUUGGAAAGUUCACUAAUUCUCCCACAUUGGUGGGAGAAGGAAACUUUGGAGUUUUUAUAAUGAUGAAUACUUACACCACAUGAUAAGUGAGGCAAUAAAUAAGAGAUGCCUCACGUCGUCGUCGUCGUCGCUCGCUCGGCUUCGGGUUCGGCUUUGGAUUUGGAUUUGUCAAAUGAUCGAUCGAUGAAAUCUAUCUUUUUGGACAAACUUUAUUUGACGAAAUCUGAUCAAUACUCCAUUUAUAUGCAUGCAGUAACAGAAACAGAUGCAAUGUUUCGACAAAAAUAAUGCACUAUUUUGACUAAAUUGAUGCGCUAUUUCUGAACUAAUGUACUAUUUCUUUUCAACUGAACUGAUGCAUGCACUGAACUGAUAUACUAUUUCUGUUUCGAUUGAACAGAUGUAAUUCUUCAAUAAAGUGAUGCACUAUUUCGAACAGGUGCACUGUUUGGUGAAAUGGUAUACCGCUUUAGCAAAGAUGCUACAGACAUGCAUUUUCAGAAACAUCACACCAUUUAAGUGAACUAAUGCCACUUUAUCAAAGAGGCAUCUGCUAGGCUAUAUAAACCUGCUUUCCUUCACAAUUUUUUAUAUGAAAUUUUCAGAAUAAAACCUCUCUUCUUUUCUUUACAAAUACUUUAUGUGAUCAAUCAAAAAUUUCUGUGCGUUUGAAGAAUCCGCCUAUUUGAGGUACCACUAUAGGUAGAUUGAAGGCCAUUUUAUCCUGGGAGGAAGAUUUCAUAACCUCGGGUACAGUGAGGGAAAUUAUUCCUUAAGGAAAGUUCGUGAAUUAGGACGACUUAGUCUUAUUCAUUCCUGUUUCAUCUAUUUUCUGAAAAAUAAAAUACACCUCUUGGAAAGGUCAUUUUGAUCUUGUACUGAGGGUAUUUGAUAUAAUUCAUUGUGUUCUUGUUUAUAUACUUGAACUUUAGUUGAAGUUGUUGUUUCUACUAUAUAGAUUUUGCGUACCCAUAGAAGGAAUAUAACAAUAACCUACCUUGAAAAGCCAAAAUCUUAGCUUGGACCAUUCAAUGUGAAGCUUUUCCUUUACGAGCGAUCUUAGAAUGGAAUAAAUCUAUGAAAUUCAAAAUAUACACAUUAACAGAGAACUAACGAUUCCAAUAUCAACUAUAUGUUAUUCAGAUUAAAAAAUAGUUCAAAAUCAAGUUCAAAAUCAAAGGGGGUAAAUUUGGAGUUUUAUUUUAGAAACAUGUUCCUCAUAUCAAAAGGAAUCUAAAUCGGAAAACCUAUAUAAAAUGAGUUAAAAUCAAUGUUCAAAUCAAAGAAAACUCAAUAAAAGUGUAACUAGGUAAUGCCCCAAAAAGAAAUUUGAAAAUAAGUUUUUGAAGCUAAUUGGAAGAUGGAAUCAAUAAAAAAUUAUGAGAGUAAGAGUGUAGAGAUUACCCAAGAAAUUGAGGAAGAAUCCCUCUUGAAAUUGCCUUUCCCGAGGUUCUUAAGUCCUAAAAUGGUGAAAAAUCAAAAACAUAAGAAAUUUAUAUUGUUCAAGUUAACACUACCUCACGAUUACAAUUCUUCUUGCACAAUCGGGAGGGUCAAUGUUGACCUGCUUUAAGUUAGACUUUGUAAUCGUGUAGUGGGCCUUGAGACCACAAUGAGUCAACCCAAAUUGGUCCAUCAUUUAACUCUUUGUGAUUAAAGUAUCCCACCUACCGAUCACGAUGAAUAAUUAGAUCAAGGACCACAACUGCGUUACAAUGUCAACAUAAUAGUAAUGAAGCACCAAAAAACUAUACCAGCAGUGUGAGAUUUGUUGAAAUAGUUCUGAAUGAACCCUCAUAUUCAUUUAUGACCCCAUAAAAAUAAACCAAACAUGAUAUUAUAGGCCAAUUUCAAUGUUUCGAACUCAAUGGAACCAUCAUAUUUUCACUCUUGAGGCCCUUUUAAGCUUAUUUUAACUAUUUUCACUCAAAGAGUCAAAAUAAAAUAUAAAGAUUUGGGGCCCGAACUAACUACACUAAUAAUCCAAAAAUGACAUUUUAGACCUAAUGAAACUAUUCAAAUUACAAUUAAACACGCAGAACUCAUAACAUUGUUCAAAGUUAAACUCAUGGCUUUGAAAGCCUAUAAGGGUCUCAACUCACCCAAAUCACUCUUAAAUACAUCGGGAGUUGUGCUAACCAAUCUCACACCAUACAAAUAGAAUAUAACAACUAUGAAAAAGGAGAAAAUUGUCAAAAUACAUAAAAAAGUAAAAUUUACAAUUUUUAUUCUUACACUUGGAGAUGGACACUUCAAAAGAAAGGAGAGAGUCGAUGGUGUUGCUAUGUUUUUAUGUGUUCCUAUAUCGUAUGAUGUGUCUAUAGAUUUUUAUACUUAAAUUCUUAUAAUAUGACUCCUUUCAAUUUUAAAGUGGAUAAUACUCAACAAUUCUUCUUCAUUAUCCAUUAAUAAAAAGAUUCCAAAGUAAUCACAAAAGUGUACAAUAGAUGCAAUCUCUAGCUCAAUAAUCUAAUUCUUACUUUUGUGUAAUGUCUACGACAAAAAAAUAUAGCUAAGAUGGUGAUUAAAAAGAAUCCUUAAUCAUACUUAAAGGCAGAAACAUUAUGCGAUAAAAAGUUGAUAAAAAUGCCCCUAUAGAGCAACUUGUGGCCACAUAUUCAUCUUAGAUGGGGAUAUAUGGUCCAUAUAUUAUAACUCAACUGAACAGCCAAAAUACCCAAGUCACUACUUUGGAGCUCUAGUUGAAAUUAUGACCAUAAAUGGUGAAAAACUUGCCACAUUUUCCAACAUAGAUGCCUGAAUUGUUGGUCCACUGAGGUCCCUUUUAUACUCUUGUAGAUGAGCUUUUAUGUCCGUAUAUGAUAUUUUUCAGCCCGUAUUUUCUCUUUUUGUUUAUGAUUUCUGCAGUCUAGCUCCAACUCUCUGGGAUUAGUGUUCGUCUUUAUUUUAGCUUCAUUUUAGACCUAUAUCUUUCAUUCUCCAUUCAAUCCAUGAAUACCUAUAACAAAAAUGAAGAAUAUAGUAUUUAAAAAACUCUUAUCUACGUGAGUUAGAGUAGUAAUUCAAUCAUAACGAACAAAUAAGUUGGUAAAAUACCAACUUAUAAACAACCCUCUUAGGUUGUUGAAUUUCUAGGGUUUUUGUUUUCUUCAUGCUAAUUUCUAAUGCUUUAUGAGAUAAACCUACAUCCAUUUCUACCUUUAGUACUUUUUUAUUUUAAUUUUCUUCCCACUUUCCUUCUCCCUCUUUUGUAUCUAUUCUGUGGCUUUAUGUAAUUCUAUGUCAAUUACUUUGUAGGUAACUAGGCCUUGCAACUUAGUAUUUGGGGAUACUUGUGUUCUAUAAUUGAACAUAUGGUAUUGUUGUUGUGAAACUGCUAAUUCCAUUAUGCUUGAUAUCACCUCUUUUACUUUAUUCCCUUCUUAUCCUCCAAUGUAUUGUAAUAACUUGGUCUAGAGUUUUACCUUUUUGUAUCCUUUCACAAUUUUUCCUUAUAAUUUAUUCGAAAAGACCUUGAUGCUUUUGACUUUAAUUUUUUGGACUUGAUAAUUUUCUAAUUCUUACCAUUUGAACUUUCUAAAACUCCUGGACUAUUACCCUCUUUGUGUACUUUUGUGAUCUCCUCUAAUCUAUCUCUAAUUUUAAAGAUAUAUGUCUUGUUUGAAUCAUAUGGAUCCUCUAUAUCUUCUACUCUAUCUCUCCAAUAGUGACUAUUCUCAUCACCUUUACUAUAUCUUCUAAAAUUUUUGAGAGUUGUUUGUCUAUGUUGAUGCCCUCUUUUUUGGUCUUGAAAAGGAUAAACCUUUUCCACCUCGUCUAUUUUUGUGAUCUCCUCUGAACUAUCUCUAAUUUUAAAGAUAUGUGUCUUGUUGAAUCAUAUAGAUCCUCUAUAUCUUCUACUCUAUCUCUCCAACAAUGACUAUACUCAUCAUCUUUACUAUUAUCUUCUGACAUUUACGAGAGUUGGUUGUCUGUGUUGAGGCCCUCUUUUUGGGUUUCCACCUAAUCUUUUAGAUGACUUCUCCACUGUAUUCUCUAUAGUUCCUAUUGUCCUUUUGUUCUUUAUUUUUGAUUCUCUAUAUUAUAAUUCAUAUUUUCAUGACUUUGCUAUGCACCCACCUUAUCCCCAUUUUAUCUGUUUUGUUUAUCGUCGAAAUUUUUCCAAUGAUCUUAUUUUGUUAAUCAGCUUCUUAAUGUGUCUCUUCUGCUAAUUCUUCAUAUUGAAUAAGUUUUUGUCUUAAUUGGUUCCAACUUCUUGGGUUGCCAAGUAUUCUCCCAAAGGACACGAUUUUAGUUGAAUUAUGAUAAUCCCUAUCUAGUGUGCCCUUUUUUCUUCCCAUUUCCUUAUUCUUUUGCUUGCCUUUAUUAUGCAUUUACUUCUCUUUCUACUGCUUAUUGAUUUUCAUAUCUACAAUCUGUUGGGGCUAUGUAACAACCCAAAAUAUUGUUACACUAAAAUAGGAGGUGAAAAUUUCACCUAGACUUCCCUUAGCUAUAUUUUUAAAAAUUCAGGGCUAGUUUUACUUUGGCUUAUUUUGAGGAUGUGAUGGUUGAACAAAAUCUGAUAUUAAUUUAGUUUAUAUUUAUGAUAUUCAAUGUGAUAUCCAACAAGCAUAGAAAGUCACAACAACUUUUGAUAGCUGAAAUAGAGUUAUAAAAUUCUGAUUAUCACAUUUAUCAUGGAGGGGUUGAUUUGUAAUAUGAAAUUUAAUGGUGUGUUGUGUAAAAUGAGAAAAAUUGAGGGGAUUUGAGUUCUUUCCUUGGAGUACUGCAACAUAAAUAGUAACCAUUGCAAUGGUACCACUGUGGUGGCACCCCAAACAAUUGCGCCGUCCUCCGUGUAAAAGGAUACGAGCAUCUACAUCAGUUACACACAAUAAAAUUUCACUUUUUAAACGCAAAAAAUAUUUUCAUUCUCAACUUUUCAAGAAAUACUCUAGGGCUCUGGAGAAAGGCGAUUUCAAAGAAAUUUUAAGUUUUUCAUCUUUGGAGGUAAGAAAAUUACAUCUUAGGCUUGAAAUUACUUUGUUUAACCUUAGAAAAUUACUAGAAAUGGAUUAAUACUAGGUUUUGGGGGUUUAACCCUAGUUUAUAAAAAUUGAUGAAAAAUGAUGGGAAUGUUUAUGAAUUUGAUAUGUAACAAUCAUAGAGUGUUAGAAAACACUAGUUGAACUAGAAUUAUGAUUUUUAUGCUACUUCAAAUAAGAUUUAUAAGGAUUGAAAUGCUAAGAAAAUUCUAAGAUGAUGAAAUUAAGGGUAAGUUAGGGCUAAAAUCAAUGACUUUUGAUCCCUAGUAGUUAAAAGGGAUUGAACUAUUGAAAUGUGUGUAUAUUUUGGGUUGUGUAAACGAAUAACGAAUUGAAUGUGAAUAAAAAAAAGAAAAGCGUGUCUUAAAGGUGACUUUGAGCAAAGAAGUUGGGGUAGACUAUUAUAUUGUAUAACACUUAGAAUUUCUUGACAUUGUGCUUAUUUGUUAUUUAAACAUCUAUGGUUGCUUUCUAGCAUAACUUGUAAUUUGAUGACUUAUUCCAUUUUAAUUAAAUUUUGAUAAGGUGUUGAGAUAAUGGAUUGGGUACCACGCUGGUAUAAUAUGAUAUGUUGUGAUAAUGGGUGGGAUACCACAUUAGUACGUUAUGAUAUGAUGAAUGAGAUUGAUAAGGGUAAAUUAUGUUACGCACAUCUUGUAUACAUGCACUUAUUUAUAUGCAUUGGGUACUAUCUUGAUAAAUAUAUGUGAUGAUGAAUUGUUGAUGAAUUUGAUUAAGUAUGAAUACUUGUGAUGGUGACCUUGUGCACUACUAUAUAUAGUGAUCCAUGACGAGUUGUUUGAUUGAUAUCACCGGUUAUGACUUUUGUUAUGAUUACUUUUAUACUUGGUUGACUUUCUUACUUGUACAUUAUUAUGUUAGUCGACUUAUGAUGCUUACUAGUACCUGAUUAUGUUGUAAGACCCUGCAAGAUCCUGGCUCAUUUCAGCUCAUCUUUGUAUGUUAAAGGGGUUCAAGACUUAAAUUUUUUUUCACUAAGUGUUAGGACUUAGUCAUUUUAAAUCCCUCAAAUUUUGAUGAAUUUAUACUUGACCUUUCCAACAUCGGAUAGUUAGUUUUUAAGUUGAUUUAUGAUCGGAAGAUUCAAUAGUACAUUUCGGGUGAGUUUCAGAAUUUUAAGACAAGCUUAAGGGUGUGUUGAAAUUCCAAAAUAUAAUCUCAAGGCAAUUAUUUGGCGACACCUCACCCAGAGUAGCACUAUGGAGCUCGUGGUGCCCUGCCUUGAGCGGUGCUUUGGAGCCCGCGGUUCCCUGCCCAGUCCGAUCUGUGUAUUUUUUUCAAUUUUUGUUUCUCAUUUUUAAGGGCAAAUGGGUCAUUUUCCAUUGACCCAACUCAUCUAAAACACGGGAUUAAAGCUCAAAUAGCACAAUUGGUCACUUUUUACUCAAAUUCUCUCAAGAAUAAAACCUUAGGAUCAUUAAAUUUAAGUCCAAGCUUCAAGAAUUCGCCAAUAACUCUCACAAAUUCAUCAACCAAGGUAUGCUAGGUGUUCAUUCUUGGGUUUAGUCAACCCUUGGAGUCCAAGAAUCUCUUUUAAAAUCUUAAGUAUGAGUUUUGUUAAUUUAAAGAAAAUUAUGUCUAUGUAUGUGUUGAAAUUUGAAUGCCAAAUGAUGAAUAUAUGAAUUUCAUGUGAAAUAAACUAAGGUGUAUGUUGAUUGUUAUAAUUAUCAUGUUGAACCCCUUACAUUGUGAACUAAAUGAUAAAGCCAUGACAUAGAGCAUGUUGCCCAUUACCAUGCACAAUAUUAUGCCUAUUAUACUUUUGACAAAAUUUAAAUGAAUGAAUGUUGAAUAAAGACUACUUAUUUUGAUCCUAAAGUUAUAGUAUGGUUCUAUUGUCAAUGUUGUGGAGUCCUGGGGGUUAUGAUACCCGAAAUCUAGUUAUUUUACUCAGUUUUCAGUAGUUGUAGAAGGAUCUUAUUCAUACCAUGAGUAGUAGUAUUCAGCCAGUUACCAUGGUCAGUGUGAAUUUAGUCAAGCUUGGUUCAGUAUAGUGACCAGUGUCAAUUUAGUUGGGAGUAGGAUUCAGCACCGAGCGAACUUAGGGAUAGGGAAUUACUGUUAGAUUAGGGUAUGACCUUUAGUAUCAAUCACUGAGUUACAAAAUUACGUUGUCAGUGUAGGUUUGAGAUGUCUUCCUGCCAGCUUAGGGUUGGCACAUAUUUCAUGAGUUUCCUGCCAGUAUAGGGUUACUCUUUACUCCUUCGGGACCUCUUUUUAGUGGAUCCAUCCAGCCAUUAUUAGUACCCAUGGCACGGUUCUAAAACCCUUCCAACUAGGAUUACAGGUUGUACCCCAAUCAAUCUAUGGUGGGGCAUGUCAGUUAGAUGAACACUCCCACAGUUUCAGUUUCCAUACUCAGUUCAGAAUUCCAUUCAGUCUAGCUUGACCGUAUCAUAUAGUUAUCAACUACUUGGCUACUAUAUUUCAGUGUUACAGAUUUCAGAUUAUUUCAGUACUUGCACUAUGCAUGGUCAUGAAUUUUCAGUCUCUACAAUUCUCAUGCAUUCUUAUUCAGUACCACAUGCUAUGCAUUCAAAUAGUUUGUACUUACGCAUAUGAACCCAUGCAUGUCAGCCUAUUUCAUUUAGUAUACCAGUAUAUUCAAACGUACUAACCACAUAUUCUUUUCUUGCGGUAUGAUGUCUUAUAUCAUAGGUUCAAAUGCUCAGAUCCCCGAUCAUACUUAAAUAGUCCAUUUAUCAAUAGCAGCUACUGUGGUAAGUCCUCAUCCAUUGAGGACAUGAGUUUUAUUCAUUUAUUACAGUAUUCUAUCAUUUACUUUAUUGUCAGACAGUUUUGGAGUUAGUUGGGGCCUGUCCCAUGAACUCUUUUAUUUUAGUUGUUAGAGGCUUUCAGACUUUGUCAGAUAGUAUUACAUGCCAGAUAAUUAUUUAUCUUAUAUUAAGUUAUUAAAACCUUAUGGCAUUCAGUUGAAGUCCCGCAUAUAAAUUAUUUUAUCAUUUUACUCAGUUCUCGUAGUAGGUACCAGCUCAUGGUUUAGCUUAUGGUCCUAUGGGACCGUAAGCACUGUAUGGCAUCUAGGGUGUACUCCUGGGUCAUUACAAACUUGGUAUCAGAGCCUAAGCUUUUAAAAUGUCCUAGGGAGUCUGAAUCUAUAUUGAGUAGAGUCUUGUACAUGAUUGUGUAGCACGCCACACUUAUAGGCAAGAGGCUAAAAGACGUUUAGGAAAAAUUUCCCUUCCUUCAGUGUUCAUAUCGUGCGAAUGAGCAGGACAUCACGUUAAACUCUCUAUAUAAUUCAUCUUUUUCUUCUAUUUACAGAAUAUGCCUCCAUGAAAACUAACAGAAGAAGGACUGGAAACCAACCAGCACAUCCACCCAUUCAGGAAGAUCCUCUAAAUGAGCCUAUAUCACAUGCAAAGUUCAGAGCUGCAUUCACCACUCUAGCUCAGUCCAUGGUAGCUUAAGAUGUUCGACCAUCUUCUGCUCAGGCCAAUCCAGUGGCUAGUUUUGCCGCAGCUAGAAUUUAGGACUUUACUUGAAUGAACCCUCCUUUAUUUUCUCGAUCUAAGUCCGAAGAGUAUCCACAGGAAUUCCUAUACAUAGUGCAGAAGGUAACAAAUAUUAUGGGGCUGACUUCUAGUGAGAGUACUGAAUUGGCUGCUUACCAGCUACAAGAUGAGGCUCAUACAUAGUUUAAGUAGUGGAAAGAGGAUAGGGGCGCAUAAGCUGGACCUAUAGAAUGUGAGGAGGUUGCUACUAUGUUCUUAGAUAGAUUCUUACCAUUAGAGCUGAGGAAGGAUAAGGUGUUAGAAUUUAUCAAUCUAAAAUAUAGUACCAUGAGUGUGAAAGAGUAUUCCCUCAAGUCUACUCAGCUGGCCAGGUAUGCUCCCUAUGUAAUAUCUGAUAACAGGUCCUAAAUGAGCAAGUUUAUGUCUGGGGUAUCUGAUUGUAUGGUCAAGGAGUGUAGGACCGCAAUAUUGAUCAAAGAGAUAAAUUUAGAAAGGUUAAUGGUCCAAGCACAGUAGAUAUAAGAGGAAUAUAUUAAGAAAAGAGAGAGGGAAAAUAAGAAAGCUAGAACAGGUAGCUUUAAUUUCUCUUAGCCAAAGCCAGAAGGUGGAAACCGUCCUCAGUUCCUCCCAAGAUCUUUUGUCCCAGCUCCGUCUUCAGCUAGUGCACCUAUGCCCAAAUUCAGGAAUAACAACAAGGAUAGAGUGGUAGGCUCUAAGUCUUAGGUUAGUGUGAACAGUGCUUGAACAAAUCCUUUUGCUAGAAGUGUAGUAGAAACCAUCAAGGUGUUUGCAGGGCUGAAAGUGACGUAUGUUUUGGGUAUGGUAAGCCAGGUCAUAAAAUCAAAGAAUAUCCUCAGGAAGGUCCAUCUAGUUAGCACAACCACCCCCAACUCAGUCAGGUUGCAUAUCUCAGUAGGGUACCGCUUCCAGUGCCACUAGCGGGCAGUGCCCAAAUAGGCUCUAUGCACUUUAUUCCCAAAAGGAUCAGGAAACUUCUCCUGAUGUGGUUACUGGUACGCUAUAGUCUUUCAUUUAUAUGUGUAUGCUUUUCUUGAUCUUGAAGCUUCUCUUUCUUUUGUAACCCUUUAUAUAGCGGUCAACUUCGAAAUCAGUCUUGAAACCUUAACAGAGCCUUUUUUAGUGUCUACCCAAUAGGUCUCUCUAUUAUAGCUAGGCAGGUAUACAAGAACUAUUCGGUCACAAUAUCUUAGAAAGUCACUUUAGUUGAUACUGUAAAGUUAGAGAUGACCGACUUUGAUGUCAUUCUCAGCAUGGAUUGGAUACAUCAUACUAUGCUUCAGUUGAUUGUAGAAACAAGGUUGUUCAUUUUCAGUUUCCGAAUGAACCAAUCCUUGAGUGGAGGGGUAAUACUAUAUCGCUUAGGGGUCAAAUUAUUUCAUGCCUUCGAGUGAGGAAAACAAUAUCUAAGUGAUGUGUCUACUGUCUUGUGCGAGUCAAAGACUCUAGUUCUGAAACUCCUAAUCUUGAGUCAGUUCAAGUAGUAAGGGAAUUUCUGGAUGUGUUCCUUGAAGAUCUCCUUGGAGUUCCUCCCGAAAGGGAAAUUGACUUUGGAAUAAAUUUUCUUUCUGGAUACUCAACCUAUUUCUAUUACGCCAUACAGAGUGGCUCUAGCCAAACUCAAAGAGUUAAAAGAACAGUUGAAAGACCUCCUAGAUAAGGGAUUCAUCAGACCCAACAUUUCCCCAUAUGGUGCACCAGUCCUAUUCAUGUGUAAGAAAGACGAUUCUCUUAGAAUGUACAUUGACUACAGUCAGUUGAACACAGUCACCAUAAAAAAUAAAUACCCACUUACUAGAAUUGAUGACCUGUUCGACCAACUUUUGGGUGCCAGUUAAUUUUCUAAGAUAGACCUCAGAUUAGGCUAUCACCAACUCCGAGUAAAAGAAUGUGACAUCCUCAAAAUAGCUUUCCAAACCUGGUAUGGUCACUUCGAGUUUCUAGUCAUGUCCUUUGGUUCGAAAAAUGCCCCAGUAGCCUUUAUGGACUUGAUUAAUAGGGUGUUUAAAUAGUACUUGGACUUGUUUGUCAUAGUCUUCAUCGAUGAUAUUUUUGUUUAUUCCCAUAUCAAAAAUGAUUAUGCAGACCACCUCAGAAUAGUAUUACAAACUCUUAUAGCCCAUCAAUUGUUCACCAAAUUUAGUAAGUGCAAAUUUUGGCUAAGGUCAGUAGCUUUUCUUGGUUAUAUUAUUUUCGGUUAUGGUAUUAGAGUGGAUCCCCAAAAGACCAAAGCAGUAAGAAGCUAGCCUAGACCUGUCUCUCCAUCUGAUAUUAGUAGUUUUUUAGGACUGGCCAGUUAUUACCGAUGGUUUGUUGAAGGGUUUUCAUCUAUUUCAUCCCCCAUGUCCAAAUUGACUUAGAAGAAAGUCAAGUUUAAGUGGUCAGAUUCUUGUGAGAAGAGUUUUCAGGAGUUGAAGACUCAACUCACUUCAGCCCCAGUUUUAGCCUUGUCAGAUGGUUCAAAUGGGUUUGUUGUUUAUUGUGAUGCUUCUAGAGUUGGUUUGAGUUGUGUUUUGAUACAGAGAGGUAAGGUCAUAGCUUAUACCUCUAGAUAACUUAAGUCCCAUGAAAGAAAUUUUCCUACCCAUGAUAUUGAGUUAACAACUAUUGUGUUUGCCUUGAAAAUUUUGAGGCAUUAUCUGUAUGGGGUGAAUGUUGAUAUGUUCACAUACCACAAGAGUUUGAAGUAUGUAUUUUCCUAGAAAGAUUUGAACUUGCGCUAGAGAAGGUGGUUAGAGUUCUUAAAAGACGAUGAUAUGAGUGUUCUGUAUCAACCGGGCAAGGCCAAUGUAAUGGUAGAUGCCCUUAGUAGGUUGUCCAUGGGUAGUGUGAGUCAUGUUUAGGAUGAAAAAAAGAAACUAGUUUAGGAAGUCUAUCAUCUUGCCAGGCUAGGUGUUCGUUUGGUCAAUUCAGCUGAGGGUAGUAUGUGGGUACAAAAUAGUUCAAAAUCUUCCUUAGUAGCCGAAGUGAAAGAAAAGUAAGAUAUGAAUUCUAGUUUGGUUCAAUGUUUAUCAAUGGAGUUUAUCGUUUUUUCACCCUAACAAAAAGUAGGAUUGGUUAUUCUUCUAUAUUUAACCCAUUUAUCAGCUUCGUAUGUGCAACAUGCUUACAAAUCCUCUCGAAAUCGCAUAUUGUUUUGUAAGGUUGAUGUUCCCUUGGCAAUUUUUCCUAAUUUCUAAUUCGAUAUGGUAACUAACUAAUUAGGGGGGUGACUCAACAAAAUUGAUGGCAUAAAACCAAACAUUAAUAUACAACUCCGGUUAAUUUUGUAGAUAAUGAUAAGUUUGGUACUUGCGAAAAGAUUAGCGAGUGGAAAGCCUCUUUUCAAGUAAUAUUGAUAAUUAAACCCAAGAAAAAAUAAUAUUAAUAUGAAUGUUAUCAAAUAUACUUAAGGUAUCUCAUAUUAAUGUUGGAUAUGGCACCAAUUUCUUCAAGCUACCGUUUCUAAUAUGGCACAAAAAAGAAAAUGAAAACGCAAGAAUACAUUAGAAUCCAUUCGCCAGAACACAAGUAACAAAGUAACGAGAGUUUUAAUUAAUUACCAUAAUGGAUUAAGAAUUUGAACAAUAGCCCACAAAACAUCCAACAUUUCAAACUAGGUUUCUAGCUUCAACCUUAUCAGUACGGAGUACCAUAAACUGAUUCUCUUAUACUGCAUAGAUAGCUAUAUAAUAUGAUGUUCUUAUUUGGUUUAUAUAUAUAAAUAAGGUCCUCAAAUAAACCUAUUUAUAGAGGAAGCUUAUAACAAAAAAUAAAUGUAUGGGAUGGAGAAUCCCCAUCCGACCACUGGCGAAGUCAGCCUUAUCCGAAAGGUGCCAUUUGAGAUUCCCUCGCCAAAAAAAAUUACAUUGUAUUUAUAGAUUUAUCAUUAUCAUAACGUCUUAAUCAUGUAU
rnacentral:lncRNA from 1 species